rnacentral:rRNA from 1 species
UACAGAGGGGGCAAGCGUUGUUCGGAAUUACUGGGCGUAAAGGGCGCGUAGGCGGCCUGUUAAGUCGAACGUGAAAUCCCUGGGCUCAACCCAGGAACUGCGUCCGAUACUGGCAGGCUUGAAUUCGGGAGAGGGAUGCGGAAUUCCUGGUGUAGCGGUGAAAUGCGCAGAUAUCAGGAGGAACACCUGAGGCGAAGGCGGGCUACUGGGCCGAUACUGACGCUGAUGCGCGAAAGCCAGGGGAGCGAACGGG